UGCACUAUAAUGUGUGCCUUCAGCUGAGUGCGCUGUGGCCUAGCCCUAGCAUCUUCUGAAAGUGCUUCCAGCAGCACCAACAUGGAAAAGAAAUAGUGCUGGUCACAAACACACACACUUCUUCCUGCUUGUCUCUGAGACGAUAUGCAUCCAGAACACCUGCUCAGGUUCCAUGAAUGCAAUCUGUGUUUGACCCUCCUAGAAUGUUCUAGUCUUGACAAGAAAACUAUGAGGCACACCAAAGCUGAUGAAGAAAAAGGGGCAAAAUAUACAUGAACUUCCAUGAUCCUGGGACCCACUGAGGAUGACGGCACAGUUACAGAUCAGCCAACUGGGGCUGAAAGUUCCACGUCAAUGCCAGUCACUGGAAGUGAGGUGAUGGCAGAGUUACACUAAAGUGGGAGGAUUCAGCAUCAUCCCUACACUCAGAACUUGGAGGAAGAAAAUCUGGAAUUGCACCUACAUAUCUCAAAGGAGACAGUCAACAAGGCAUGGCCACCAGGUUCCAGAUGUUAACAUGAUGCCAAUCUGACUUCCCUGGGCAGAUGACCUCACCACUGUGUCCUGGAGCCCUGCUUCCCUAGAGCUCUGCCCCACUAGAGAAAGAGAGAGACAGGCUGUAAGUAUGGAUCGACCUGUCAAUGCCCAUGUUCAGCGGGGAAGCAAUUACAGAAGCCAGACCUUCCACCUUCUGCACCCCAUAAUGACCCUGGGUCCAUAGUUCCAGGGGGACGAGGAACAGGAGAGGGGAUGGGAUAUGGAGAUCUGGUGGUGGGAAUUGUGUGGAAUUGUACCCCUUUUAUCCUAUGGUUCUUGUCAGUGUUUCCUUUUUAUAAAUAAA